AUUGAACGCUGGCGGAAUACUUUACACAUGCAAGUCGAACGGCAGCACGGACUUCGGUCUGGUGGCGAGUGGCGAACGGGUGAGUAAUGUAUCGGAACGUGCCCAGUCGUGGGGGAUAACGUAGUGAAAAUUACGCUAAUACCGCAUACGAUCUAUGGAUGAAAGCGGGGGAUCGCAAGACCUCGCGCGAUUGGAGCGGCCGAUAUCAGGUUAGGUAGUUGGUGGGGUAAAGGCCCACCAAGCCAACGAUCUGUAGCUGGUCUGAGAGGACGACCAGCCACACUGGAACUGAGACACGGUCCAGACUCCUACGGGAGGCAGCAGUGGGGAAUUUUGGACAAUGGGCGAAAGCCUGAUCCAGCCAUUCCGCGCGCAGGAUGAAGGCCCUCGGGUUGUAAACUGCUUUUGUACAGAACGAAAAGGUUUCUACUAAUACUAGGAGCUCAUGACGGUACUGUAAGAAUAAGCACCGGCUAACUACGUGCCAGCCGCCGCAGUAA
rnacentral:rRNA from 1 species